GAUGUUAAAUCCGCCAAAAAUAUUAAUGUAUUCAAAAACAAGUAUGACUACUACAUUAGAUCCACAAUGAUCACUGGGAUCAAUUCACAAACCUAGAAUAUACCAUUCUUCCAGCAGAUGAUCAUUAGUUCCUAAAAAAAUCCUCUACAUAUUCCUAGAUGGAACACUGAAGAUCAACACAAAAGUAUCAAGUUGGACCAUCCGAUUUAUGACAAGUUGGGAUAUCUCCAGCCAAAGAAAACUUAGAAUGUCGUCCUCCAUUAAAACUUUAAGUCAAUGAAAACGAUGCCGAAUAAAAAUAUGAAACUGUUUA